CCCAUUUUUAACCCGCCAAAAACGACCGUAUUUGAUGAGAGAAUAGUAAAAGAUACGACCCGCGACCCAUCUCUGCUUCUCAACUUUCCCAAUCGCACCAGUGCACCACCAUAUAUGUCGUCUCCACCACCGUCAUCAACACCACCGGAGACGUCCUCCGCUGCUGCUCCAGAUGCUCCAACCGUCGUCAAUACCACUAUUCUCUCUCAUCGAUUUCGAAAGUAAACCCUAAUGUCACUGCUGCACCAAAAACUUCCACCGCCAAAGGGUUUUAGCUUAUUCAUGUGCGAUUGGGAAAUACGGUUGUGGUUUGAUUCCUAAAAAGCGUUGAUUUUAUUGUUUGAUCACUGAAAGAGUUAUUUUAGUUUGCCAGUUGAAGGGUCUAAAUCUAAAUGGAUCUUUGCCUGAAGAAUUCGGAGACCUUACUUAGCUGCAGAUAUAGUGGGACCACACCAGAUGUUUACUUGUAAGGAAUUGGAUGGCACACUUGAGGUUCGCAACAACUUGUGCCAACAUCAAUCACUAAAGCUUCCUCUCUAGUCUGUUUUCCUUUCAAGUUUGGUCAUACUUGCAAAAGAAUCCACAUAACAUAAUGUUGCUAAACAAAUUUCUGAUCCUGAGUUGGUGGUAUUCAAUACUUGGAACCGACAUCCUGGAUGGAAAUCGACUGGCUGUGAGGCUGUCUAAGGGUAAGGGAUGUGCUCUUGGAAGAAGGAAAGAGGGAAUGUACGAGUACUCGGCAUGAGAUACGGCCUACAAGAAUAAAAAAAAACUCAAAGAAGCCCGAACUAAGGGAGAGGUUUUUCAAGAACAACUUUUUGUUAUUAAAAGAAUAAUCUUUUAAGUUAUACAUUAAUUGCCAUGAUCUCUACUUAUGUGUGAUAUCUACUUGUAACAAUUUAGAAUAUAAAGAUCUCUCUACUUCUUUUUAUGUUAUUCCGUUAUUUGUAUUUUAAUACUUGGCUAAUCCGUGGACAAUGGAACAUGGUGCACAGUGAGCAUGAUGCUCAAAAAGAACAUGUGUAUAAACAAAAGAACAUAUGUGCUUAUCUGA